ACCCGCUGAACUUAAGCAUAUCAAUAAGCGGAGGAAAAGAAACCAACAGGGAUUGCCUUAGUAACGGCGAGUGAAGCGGCAAAAGCUCAGAUUUGAAAUCUAGCGUCAUAUUGGCGUUCGAGUUGUAAUCUGUAGAGAAGUUAUCGAGUGUGGAUAUGGCUUAAGUUCUUUGGAACAGGACGUCAUAGAGGGUGAGAACCCCGUAUACGGCCUUUGUCUUAUGCUCAUGUGAGGCUUCUUCGACGAGUCGAGUUGUUUGGGAAUGCAGCUCUAAAUGGGUGGUAAAUUCCAUCUAAAGCUAAAUACUGGCAAGAGACCGAUAGCGCACAAGUAGAGUGAUCGAAAGAUGAAAAGCACUUUGAAAAGAGAGUUAAACAGUAUGUGAAAUUGUUGAAAGGGAAGCGCUGGCAACCAGACUCGUGCGCGGGGUUCCCCCUUGCUUCUGCUUGGGUUACUUCCCCGUGUCCGGGCCAUCAUCAGUUUCGGGGGCCGGUUAAAGGCCUUGGGAAUGUAUCUACUCCUUCGGGGGUAGACUUAUAGCCCAGGGUGUCAUGCGGCCAUUCGGGACUGAGGAACGCGCUUCGGCGAGGAUGAUGGCGUAAUGGUUGU
rnacentral:rRNA from 1 species